rnacentral:rRNA from 1 species
CAGUCGCCGCGGUAAUACGAAGGGGGCUAGCGUUGCUCGGAAUUGCUGGACGUAAAGCGUGCGCGGGCGGUUUGUUAAGACAGAUGUGAAAUCCCCGGGCUCAACCUGGGAACUGCAUUUGUGACUGGCAAGCUAGAGUGUGGCAGAGGGGGGUGGAAUUCCGCGUGUAGCAGUGAAAUGCGUAGAUAUCGGAAGGAACACCUGUGGCGAAAGCGGCUCACUGGACCAUUACUGACGCUGAGGCGCGAAAGCUAGGGGAGCAAACAGGAUUAGAUACCCCCGUAGUCCCUGUCUCUUAUAC